rnacentral:misc_RNA from 1 species
UACAGAGGAGCUCUCCAAAGACCUUACC